rnacentral:rRNA from 2 species
AAUCUACCUAGUAGUACGGAAUAAUUGUUGGAAACGGCAACUAAUGCCGUAUACGCCCUACGGGGGAAAAAUUUAUUGCUAUUAGAUGAGCCUAUAUUAGAUUAGCUAGUUGGUGGGGUAAUGGCCUGCCAAGGCAAUGAUCUAUAGCUGAUCUGAGAGGAUGAUCAGCCACACUGGAACUGAGAUACGGUCCAGACUCCUACGGGAGGCAGCAGUGGGGAAUAUUGGACAAUGGGCGAAAGCCUGAUCCAGCCAUGCCGCAUGAGUGAAGAAGGCCUUUGGGUUGUAAAGCUCUUUUAGUGAGGAAGAUAAUGACGGUACUCACAGAAGAAGUCCUGGCUAACUCCGUGCCAGCAGCCGCGGUAAUACGGAGNGGGCUAGCGUUAUUCGGAAUUAUUGGGCGUAAAGNGCGCGUAGGCUGGUUAAUAAGUUAAAAGUGAAAUCCCAAGGCUUAACCUUGGAAUUGCUUUUAAAACUAUUAAUCUAGAGAUUGAAAGAGGAUAGAGGAAUUCCUAGUGUAGAGG